AUGGUCGGGCCUUCGCCGUCGGCCGCCGCCCGCCCAUCCACGGCCAAGCCUCCGCCGCCGCUCCACGGCCAAGCCUCUGCCGCCGUUUGCCGCCUCCACGGCCGGGCCUCUGCCGCCUUCCGUCACCCGCCCAUCCUCGCCCUCCUCCGCCGCCGCUCCACGGCCGGGGCUCCAUCCUCCGCUGCCGCCCGCCCAUCCUCUGCCGCCGGCCGCCGUCCGCCUCCAGCCGGUCCUCUUCUCCGCCGCCGCGAGCGUGAGCAGCCCCCCUCCGCCCCUGGCCGUUGCCGGUGCGCGUCGGCUCUGCCUCCCCACAACGUGCGUCCGCUACACGCUUCCCACGACACGCAAGGGGAUCUCUUUCUGCAACGAAUCCCUCACCAAUUUGAGCGUCGAGGACAGGCAUAUCCUUUCCCUGAAUAUGGCCUACGUACAGAGGUGAAAGCUUUAUCAAUUAAUAGGAAGUUUGUGAUUGGAUGGAUGCUCCCAACAACCAGUUCUUCCAAGGACAUCCCCGUGGCUCCGCGACACUCUUUCAGAUUUUGCUAA
rnacentral:rRNA from 1 species